CCUACGGGAGGCAGCAGUGAGGAAUAUUGGUCAAUGGACGAGAGCCUGAACCAGCCAAGUCGCGUGAAGGAUGACUGCCCUAUGGGUUGUAAACUUCUUUUAUCAGGGAGUAAAACCAGGCACGUGUGCCUUUUUGCAUGUACCUUAUGAAAAAGGAUCGGCUAACUCCGUCCCAGCAGCCGCGGUAAUACGGAGGAUCCGAGCGUUAUCCGGAUUUAUUGGGUUUAAAGGGGCCGUAGCUGGGUUGUUAAGUCAGUGGUGAAAGUUGGGGGCUCAACCGUAAAAUAGCAAUUGAUACUGGCAGUCUUGAGUGCGGGAGAGGUAGGCGGAAUGCGUGGUGUAGCGGUGAAAUGCUUAGAUAUCACGAAGAACCCCGAUUGCGAAGGCAGCUUA
rnacentral:rRNA from 1 species